CUCCUGGAGGGAGACACAGCAGUUAUUCAUCCUGAUGGGUCCUGGGUGUUUAUCAUGAGUCUAACAACAAUGACUUUCACUGAGUGCACAGCACUCCAGUGCACUAGAGCUCAGCAUUCCGCAUGUAUUAUGACAUGUAACCCUCAAAUGGUCCUGCACCUCAAGACUCUAAUAUCAACAUGGAACCUGAUGCACAGAGAAGUUAAUCAACAUGGGAGAGUGGGGAUUUGCUUACCUGAGCCCUCUGUGGAAGAGUGGUGUCUGAGCGGGGCUCUGGAACUCAAAUCUGCAUUUACCAGGCAGAAAGGAGCCCGGUGUUCCAACAGAGGGACCAGCCUGAGUAGGCCGAGCAGGGAAGCAGGCCCUGAGCAGGAAGACAGACUCAGCCAUAUGAUAGUAGUGGAAUAGCAGAAAGAAUAUGGGAUUGAGUUGUGGAUCAGUGGCAUCCUGUGUCAUCUGGGGUUGUCACUUAGGUCUGGCCAGCUCAGCUUCCAAGAUGUGAUCCAACUCUGAUCUCCCGUGUCCUCCUCCAAAGCACUGUCAUUGCUCACCUGGACCCUUAUCACAGUGGCCUCCCUGCCUCAUCUCCCUACAACCCAUGAUCUACCUAUAACAAGAGCAGUCUCUAAGCCCAAGGCAAGUGACUUCCUUCGUGUCCUUCUGUGGUGCCCAAUGCAGUCAGACUGAGGUCCAGAAUCCUUAUGGUAAUUCCCAGGGCCUGAGAGCCUCACUCUUCCUCAACCACGCCAGAUCCUCUGGUCACCGCAGGGCCUUUGCAUUUGCUGUUACUUCUGCCUGGCACUUUCAUUCCCCUUGAUCCCUACCCACCUGGCUCCCUUGCCUCCUUCAGGUCUGUGAGUCUUCCAUGGCCACCCUGCAUGAAAUUCUACUCCCCCAAUGCCCUUGCUCUGCUUGAUUUGUCUACAUUACCUAUCACCUGACAUAUUUUGUAUUUACUUAAUUUUUUAGUGUCUAUCUCCCUACCCUAGACUUCCUUAUAAGUCCUUUGAGAAGAAGGGCUUGGUUUUAUUCCCCUGGUUUAGACCAGUGCCUGGCAUUUCUGCACAGGUUUUGGUUUGGAUGCUUACCCUCCCACCCAUGAGACCCCAGGAAAUAUCCUAAUCUCAUUGGACCUCUGGGUUCUCAUUUGAAGAAUGGGGAUGAUGAUGAUGAUGAUGAUGACGACAACGACGACGAUGACGACGAUGACUACACCAGGGGGUGCUGAGACAAAAUGGGCUGGCAUGUGUAAAGAACUGAGCACCACACCGGGCUCAUUGGCUUCCAUUUCUGGAGGACACCGAAGAUCUGCUUGAAGAAUAGGGCAGUAGAGACAGCCCUGGCAUCACAUCACCACCCACUCAAUCCAGCGGUCUCUCCCAGCAGGGAGGCCCACUGCUCCCUCCAAUCUCCAGCUUCCAAUCUCCUCCUGAUCCCAGCACCUGAUCCCCCCCCCCCCGCCUCCCUGCGGCUCCUGUGCUGAUCUGCAGUAUCUAACACCCUCGCCCCCAAAUGGACGUGCCAGGAAAUCUUACAGACACAAAAGCCAAUUCUGUAUCAUUUCUGACUUCCCCCUCAGCUGGUGUGUACCUCCCUGGAUGGAGGGUUUGUCGAGACAGGCAGGGAAGAUUUAUCCUUCGGAGGGCUCCAUCAGAAGACCUGCCCCAGAAGCUGGGCAAAUGGUUUCAGCUGUCAAAACAGAUACUUCCUUCUCCCGAGUGAGUCAGGGCGGAAGUGCUUCUUGGAAGCACCCACUGUCCCCACCUUCUGGAGGAUACACUGACCGACAGAAACGUGAGAGUAGCCUCAAAAGAGCAGGGUACCAGCAACCCUAGGCCUCAGUUUUUCUACCUAACAAGUGAGGCUAAGUGAUGUCUAAAGAAUGA